rnacentral:rRNA from 1 species
UACGGAGGAUGCGAGCGUUAUCCGGAUUUAUUGGGUUUAAAGGGUGCGUAGGCGGGCGCCUAAGUCAGCGGUGAAAGUCAGCGGCUCAACCGUUGGAUUGCCGUUGAAACUGGGCGCCUUGGAUUCGGUCGGGGCCGGCGGAAUGCGUGGUGUAGCGGUGAAAUGCUUAGAUAUCACGCGGAACGCCGAUCGCGAAGGCAGCUGGCCAGACCUGGAUCGACGCUGAGGCACGAAAGCGUGGGGAU